AACACAGAACGAAAAAUAAGCGUAGUCACACUACCAGGAACCACCUCCUUCGCCAGCUCAAUCUCCCUUGAGCUGGCUUUUU
rnacentral:sRNA from 1 species